AUCUGCAUGAAUAUGUAAAUUUCGAUGUUCAUGGAUGGUUUGUGUUCAUGUAGCAUUUUUCAAAAUCUCUGAGCACUUUAUUGUGAAAGGAGAGGAGAUCCUCAGCCAUCACCACCAACGUGUAACACCCGUCUUGGUGAUGGACGGCGGCCAUUUUGUCAUCGUACAUCAGUAGAUGCACUUGAGAUGAUCUGAACAUCAAAUGCAGUAGACUGUGAAAACGAAACCGUGGAGCCUGCUAGUUUUCAGCUUUAUCUAAUGUGGUCUGCAGGACGCAUUCAGUUUACUGGCGUACUCGGACCGCUGGAGCAGCCCGGUUGGGCACCAGCUGGACUCCAUACAGAGGAAACCGGUGUGCUCCACCCUCAACAGUGCAAUAUUAGGCAUCCCAGUGCUUGUCAAUCAUGGCCCGCUCAGGGAGCGGCUCCUGCGCCUUUGCCUCCUUGGAUGACUACCUGCACUAGCUAUGCAAGCUCCGCCCACAGCAACCGGACAUUUCCGACGCACGGAGACGGAACGGCCCGCGCCCGAGGAACAGGCGACCUCGUUUUUUUAAUUAGCUAAUUACUGGGGGACAGGCUCUGAUUGUCACUUAACUUCAGUUUCCUAGUUUACAAAGGCAUGGUGCAAACUAUUCUUGCCGUUAUUAUCAUCAUUAUUACUAUUAUUAUUAUUAGCAGCCUAUCUUGCAUAUAAGAUCUAUUUGUUCCCAUUUUGAAAAGUAGUGUGGUGCAUGCCACCGAUAAAUAAAUAAAGGCCCCUAAAGUAUACCACCUAAUAAGUCACAUGGCGUUCCGAGAAUCGUUGUUUUAUAGGACCAUGCACAUUUACCACAAGGAUGGUAUAUGUGUCUGUGUGUGUGUUUCUGUGCAUGUGCGUGUGUGUAUAUAAAAUAUACAUUACAUAAAUAUAUAUUUAAAAAUUUAACUGACUUAUAUUGAAGAAAUACUGAGUUACCAAACAAAAACCAGAAAUAAGGGAUAGAAAUUUGUGGCAGAAGUUUCUAUGGACACUUAGUGUAAGGCACUGUAUGGGGGUGACUCUGGUCAAUGGAUUUGGGUGAUUUGAAAUGUAAUUGAUGAAGAAGAUGAAAAUGGUAUAUGGUGUGUGUCAUUUAUGAUACUUGCAUCCAAGAAAGAGCUGGUUCUGAUGCUUUAUAAACAAGGACGUUACCAACUUGUCUGCUUGCUACUUUUAAGUUUUUUUUAAAAAUAACUUGCCUCAGAGGUCACCUCUAUGUUUUUCCUUGACAGUAUCACUCAUGGGUAGGACAUAGAACAUGUAACUGUGUUCCCAUUUAUGUCUGUGUGGACACGUUUAUAUUGCUGUGGCAACCUAGAUUGCAUCAACUUUCUACUUAUUACCAAGGUCAUAUCAUCAGGAGUCUAUGUCAUUCAUUUUAAGAGCUUCUAAAGCAGUGGAACCACCUCUGUCAUGGAAUCAAGUCCAUAGUUGCUAAUGCACAGCAUAUCAACAUACAAAUCGUCAAAACAAUGAAUAGUAGUUAUUUUGUUCCAGUGUUUCCAUCAGUCCCCACACUUCUCAGAGAGUACAAAGACCAGCAAAAAAGGAAGGUUUAAAGUGACGUUGGUUUGACCAUUCUUUUCUUUAAGUGUAUUCGUGUCAAAGCUCGUCCUCGAACCUUGCACAACUCAGGAGCCCGAUGCCCUCCCUCAUCUGUGCUGCAGACGUAGGAGUAUUUUUAUUUUUGUUAUUUUUUCCCGUUCGAUUUCUCUUUUCGCUUUCCUAGCCUGACUCUGAAACUCGGUAAACUUCCAUUGUACACAUUUGCCAAUGUAGAGGGAUAAAAACCAAACAGUAUUGUCGACACUGUGUGGUAAUUGCAUCUACAAUAAAAAGUAAAAAAAGAAUACCAA